UACGAAGGGUGCAAGCGUUACUCGGAAUUACUGGGCGUAAAGCGUGCGUAGGUGGUUCGUUAAGUCUGAUGUGAAAGCCCUGGGCUCAACCUGGGAAUGGCAUUGGAUACUGGCGAUCUAGAGUGCGGUAGAGGGCAGUGGAAUUCCCGGUGUAGCAGUGAAAUGCGCAGAGAUCGGGAGGAACAUCUGUGGCGAAGGCGACUGCCUGGACCAGCACUGACACUGAGGCACGAAAGCGUGGGGAUCAAACAGG
rnacentral:rRNA from 1 species